CCCUUAGAUGUUCUGGGCCGCACGCGUGCUACACUGAGUGGAUCAGCGGGUCAGGUUGCGCGAAAGCGUUUCCUAAUCUUUAAAUCCGCUCGUGAUGGGGAUUGACGGUUGCAAUUUUCUGUCAUGAACGAGGAAUACCUUGUAAGCGCGGGUCAUCAUCCCGCGCUGAAUACGUCCCUGCCCUUUGUACACACCGCCCGUCGCUCCUACCGAUUGAGUGGUCCGGUGAGGCUUUGGGAUCUGAGCUGAAAGAGCGUUUCGCUGUUUCUGCUCGGAAAACUCAGUCGAACCUUAUCAUUUAGAGGAAGGAGAAGUCGUAACA
rnacentral:rRNA from 1 species